AGCCUGAACGCUGGCGGCGUGGCUAAGACAUGCAAGUCGAACGGGUGUAGCAAUACACCAGUGGCGGACGGGUGAGUAAUGAAUCGCUAACGUACCCUCCCGUCUGGGAUAGCCGAGGGAAACUUCGGGUAAUACCAGAUGACACCCCCUUGUCGCAUGACGAGGGGUUCAAAGGAGCAAUCCGCGGGUGGCGCGGGCGAUUUCGUAUCAGCUGGUUGGUGGGGUAACGGCCCACCAAGGCGACGACGCGUAGCCGGACUGAGAGGUUGGCCGGCCACAUUGGGACUGAGACACUGCCCAGACUCCUACGGGGGGCUGCAGUAACGAAUCUUCGCAAUGCACGCAAGUGUGACGGAGCGACGCCGCGUGUGGGACGAAGUCCUUCGGAUGUAAACCACUGUCAGGGGCUACCAAGUUCUGAGGAGCCCCAGAGAGGCACGGCUAACUCUGUGCCAGCAGCCGAC
rnacentral:rRNA from 1 species